AUCAGGGUCAUAACUGUUUUGAGAGGGCUGUGCUGUGAGGCCAACCCCUGAAGAUGCUGAAGCUUCUGCUGCUUCUGGGGCCCACAGGCUCUGUGCUUGGUGCUCUCGUCUCUCAACAUCCAAGUAUGGCUCUCUGUAAGAAUGGAACCUCCAUGAAGAUCGAGUGCCGUGCAAUGGACUUUGAGGCCCAAACUGUGUGUUGGUAUCGUCAGUUGCCGAAACAGGGCCUCACACUGAUUGCAACUUCUAAUCAGGGCUUUGACCCCACAUAUGAACAAAGUUUUAGACAGGAAAAAUUUCCCGUCAGCCAUCCCAACCAAACAUAUUCAUCUCUGAAGGUGAAGAGUGCGCAUCCCACAGACAGCAGCCUGUACUUCUGUGGUGCUAGUGACACAGCGCUGGGCAGAGAUCAGAGACCCAAACAACAACCUUUGCAACAGGCCCCUCUUCCCCACUCCACCAAACCCACGGAGCCCUGUGGAAGGAGGUGUGGAGAGAGGAAAACCACAGCUUCUCUGAUUGAGACAUCUAAUUUGGAUUACAAUGUUAUGUACUGGUACCAACCGGACCCGGGACAAGGACUGAAACUGAUCUACUCCUUGCAGGUUGUAAAUGAUGUUCAGAAAGGAGACGUAUCUGAAGGCUACAAUGCCUCUCCGGUGGAGAAGGCAUUCUUUCCUCUCAUCGUGACGUCGACCUAA